UCUUAGGGUAGCCUAGUGGACAUGGCAUCUGCCCGGUAAGCGGAAGGUUGUGGGUUCGAUUCCCGCCCCUGGAC